GUGCCAGCAGCCGCGGUAAUACAGAGGGUGCAAGCGUUGUUCGGAAUCAUUGGGCGUAAAGCGCGUGUAGGCGGCCAUCUAAGUUUGGUGUGAAAGCCCGGGGCUUAACCCCGGAAGUGCACUGAAUACUGGAAGGCUAGAGGGUGAGAGGGGAGUUUGGAAUUCAUGGUGUAGGGGUGAAAUCCGUAGAUAUCAUGAGGAACAUCAGUGGCGAAGGCGAAACUCUGGCUCAUUUCUGACGCUGAGACGCGAAAGCGUGGGGAGCAAACAGGAUUAGAUACCCCAGUAGUCC
rnacentral:rRNA from 1 species